UCUAACCCAGAGAUUAACACUGUA
rnacentral:piRNA from 1 species